UUGGGCAGGUGGAGCUAUAGGUGGGGGCAAGGCAGGAGGAAGGGAAAUUCUGGUUCGUUUAUUUGGGGGGUUACUUACUGGGUUAGGCAAUAUCUUUCUAAGCUGUUGGGGCAGUUGUUGGGCUCGAACUCGAGCAAAGUGUUGGUGCUUAGCCGAGAUAAGAUCUUUGGCCAACUGGACAUAUUCAAGCACCUCUGCAUACGUGCUAGGUCUUAGCAUCGUGACCUAAUCAUAAAUAUCGGCACGAAGGCCCUUGAGAAACUUCAUAGCUUUCCAAUUUUUGGGGGUGACCAUCAAAGGGGCAAACCUAGAUAGCUGAACAAAUCGGGCUGCAUAUUGGGCUACAUACAAGCUUCCUUGGUGGAGUUCCUGAAAUUUUUCCUCUUUUUUUUCGAACAUAAACAGGGAAGAAAUUAUAAAAGAAAGCAUCCAUGAAAACUUCCCAGGAAGUAGAGGUAAGCAUGACUUCUUUCUUAAAUCGCCACCAGUAUUCAGCUUCACCAU
rnacentral:lncRNA from 1 species